rnacentral:rRNA from 1 species
UACGAAGGGGGCUAGCGUUGCUCGGAAUCACUGGGCGUAAAGCGCACGUAGGCGGCUUUUUAAGUCAGAGGUGAAAUCCUGGAGCUCAACUCCAGAACUGCCUUUGAUACUGAGAGGCUUGAGUCCGGGAGAGGUGAGUGGAACUGCGAGUGUAGAGGUGAAAUUCGUAGAUAUUCGCAAGAACACCAGUGGCGAAGGCGGCUCACUGGCCCGGUACUGACGCUGAGGUGCGAAAGCGCGGGGAGCAAACAGG